rnacentral:rRNA from 1 species
UUCCGGUUGAUCCCGCCGGACCUGACUGCUAUCGGAUUGAUACUAAGCCAUGCGAGUCAUUGUAGCAAUACAAGGCAGACGGCUCAGUAACGCGUAGUCAACCUAACCUAUGGACGGGAAUAACCUCGGGAAACUGAGAAUAAUGCCCGAUAGAACACUAUGCCUGGAAUGGUUUGUGUUCCAAAUGAUUUAUCGCCGUAGGAUGGGACUGCGGCUUAUCAGUUUGUUGGUGAGGUAAUGGCCCACCAAGACUAUUACAGGUACGGGCUCUGAGAGGAGUGGCCCGGAGAUGGGUACUGAGACACGGACCCAGGCCCUAUGGGGCGCAGCAGGCGAGAGAACUUUGCAAUGUGCGAAAGCACGACAAGGUUAAUCCGAGUGGUUUCUGCUAAAGGAACCUUUUGUCGGUCCUAGAAACACCGAUGAAUAAGGGGUGGGCAAGUUCUGGUGUCAGCCGCCGCGGUAAAACCAGCACCUCAAGUGGUCAGGAUGAUUAUUGGGCCUAAAGCAUCCGUAGCCUGCUUUGUUAGUUUUCGGUUAAAUCUGUACGCUCAACGUACAGGCUGCCGGGAAUACUGCAAAGCUAGGGAGUGGGAGAGGUAGACGGUACUCGGUAGGAAGGGGUAAAAUCCUUUGAUCUAUUGAUGACCACCUGUGGCGAAGGCGGUCUACCAGAACACGUCCGACGGUGAGGGAUGAAAGCUGGGGGAGCAAACCGGAUUAGAUACCCGGGUAGUCCCAGCUGUAAACCAUGCAAACUCAGUGAUGCAUUGGCUUGUGGCCAAUGCAGUGCUGCAGGGAAGCCGUUAAGUUUGCCGCCUGGGAAGUACGUACGCAAGUAUGAAACUUAAAGGAAUUGGCGGGGGAGCACCACAAGGGGUGAAGCCUGCGGUUCAAUUGGAGUCAACGCCGGG